AUUGAACGCUGGCGGCAUGCCUUACACAUGCAAGUCGAACGGCAGCAUAGGAGCUUGCUCCUGAUGGCGAGUGGCGAACGGGUGAGUAAUAUAUCGGAACGUGCCCUAGAGUGGGGGAUAACUAGUCGAAAGACUAGCUAAUACCGCAUACGAUCUACGGAUGAAAGUGGGGGAUCGCAAGACCUCAUGCUCCUGGAGCGGCCGAUAUCUGUUUAGCUAGUUGGUGGGGUAAAAGCUCACCAAGGCGACGAUCAGUAGCUGGUCUGAGAGGACGACCAGCCACACUGGGACUGAGACACGGCCCAGACUCCUACGGGAGGCAGCAGUGGGGAAUUUUGGACAAUGGGGGCAACCCUGAUCCAGCAAUGCCGCGUGAGUGAAGAAGGCCUUCGGGUUGUAAAGCUCUUUUGUCAGGGAAGAAACGGUCCUGGAUAAUACCUGGGACUAAUGACGGUACCUGAAGAAUAAGCACCGGCUAACUACGUGCCAGCCGCCGCCGUAA
rnacentral:rRNA from 1 species